rnacentral:snoRNA from 1 species
GUGUUGCUCUCUCCUGAGCGCGAAGGGGCGGGCGGGCGGUGCUGCUUGGGCAGGAGCCGCUCGCCAUUGAUGACCGUUCCCGGUCCUUCUGGUCCGGGAGGGAGAGAGCACAGGCUGA